GAUCCUGGCUCAGAUUGACCGCUGGCGGCAUGCUUUACACAUGCAAGUCGAACAGUAACAGGCCGCAAGGUGCUGACGAGUGGCGAACGGGUGAGUAAUGCAUCGGAACGUGCCCAGUCGUGGGGGAUAACUACUCGAAAGAGUAGCUAAUACCGCAUACGAUCUAUGGAUGAAAGCGGGGGACCGUAAGGCCUCGCGCGAUUGGAGCGGCCGAUGUCAGAUUAGGUAGUUGGUGGGGUAAAGGCUCACCAAGCCAACGAUCUGUAGCUGGUUUGAGAGGACGACCAGCCACACUGGGACUGAGACACGGCCCAGACUCCUACGGGAGGCAGCAGUGGGGAAUUUUGGACAAUGGGCGCAAGCCUGAUCCAGCAAUGCCGCGUGCAGGAAGAAGGCCUUCGGGUUGUAAACUGCUUUUGUACGGAACGAAACGGUCCUGGUUAAUACCUGGGGCUAAUGACGGUACCGUAAGAAUAAGCACCGGCUAACUACGUG
rnacentral:rRNA from 1 species